rnacentral:rRNA from 1 species
GACGGAGGGCGCGAGCGUUGUUCGGAAUUACUGGGCGUAAAGCGCGCGCAGGCGGGAAGGUAAGUCUGGAGUGAAAUUCCGGGGCUCAACUCCGGAGCUGCUUUGGAUACUGUCUUUCUAGGGACCGGUAGAGGCCGGUGGAAUUCCCGGUGUAGCGGUGGAAUGCGUAGAGAUCCGGAAGAACACCGGAGGCGAAGGCGGCUUGCUGGGCUCGGUCUGACGCUGAGGCGCGAAAGCGUGGGGAGCGAACAGG